rnacentral:rRNA from 1 species
GGGUUGUGAGGUUAAGCGACUAAGCGUACACGGUGGAUGCCCUGGCAGUCAGAGGCGAUGAAGGACGUGCUAAUCUGCGAUAAGCGCCGGUAAGGUGAUAUGAACCGUUAUAACCGGCGAUUUCCGAAUGGGGAAACCCAGUGUGAUUCGUCACACUAUCAUUAACUGAAUCCAUAGGUUAAUGAGGCGAACCGGGGGAACUGAAACAUCUAAGUACCCCGAGGAAAAGAAAUCAACCGAGAUUCCCCCAGUAGCGGCGAGCGAACGGGGAGGAGCCCAGAGCCUGAAUCAGCAUGUGUGUUAGUGGAAGCGUCUGGAAAGGCGCGCGAUACAGGGUGACAGCCCCGUACACAAAAGCGCAUGUGCUGUGAGCUCGAUGAGUAGGGCGGGACACGUGGUAUCCUGUCUGAAUAUGGGGGGACCAUCCUCCAAGGCUAAAUACUCCUGACUGACCGAUAGUGAACCAGUACCGUGAGGGAAAGGCGAAAAGAACCCCGGCGAGGGGAGUGAAAAAGAACCUGAAACCGUGUACGUACAAGCAGUGGGAGCACCCUUUUGGGUGUGACUGCGUACCUUUUGUAUAAUGGGUCAGCGACUUAUAUUCUGUAGCAAGGUUAACCGAAUAGGGGAGCCGGAGGGAAACCGAGUCUUAAUUGGGCGUUAAGUUGCAGGGUAUAGACCCGAAACCCGGUGAUCUAGCCAUGGGCAGGUUGAAGGUUGGGUAACACUAACUGGAGGACCGAACCGACUAAUGUUGAAAAAUUAGCGGAUGACCUGUGGCUGGGGGUGAAAGGCCAAUCAAACCGGGAGAUAGCUGGUUCUCCCCGAAAGCUAUUUAGGUAGCGCCUCGUGAAUUCAUCUCCGGGGGUAGAGCACUGUUUCGGCUAGGGGGCCAUCCCGGCUUACCAACCCGAUGCAAACUGCGAAUACCGGAGAAUGUUAUCACGGGAGACACACGGCGGGUGCUAACGUCCGUCGUGAAGAGGGAAACAACCCAGACCGCCAGCUAAGGUCCCAAAGUCAUGGUUAAGUGGGAAACGAUGUGGGAAGGCCCAGACAGCCAGGAUGUUGGCUUAGAAGCAGCCAUCAUUUAAAGAAAGCGUAAUAGCUCACUGGUCGAGUCGGCCUGCGCGGAAGAUGUAACGGGGCUAAACCAU